UUGCGAAACCGGGGGCUUAGCCUCUGGUCGUCCUAGUGUCGCGGCUAGGGCCUGAUGAGCAAGCGAGA
rnacentral:hammerhead_ribozyme from 1 species